CACCGAGCCCCGCGCAGCCGCCGCCCGUGGAGCCCCAAGCCCAGUCCAGGACAGCGAUGGAGGGAGUGAGCAGCCACCGCACCCUGUCCUACAGCCGCUGGAGCUACGACAGGGAGAGGACAGCAUGUGGCUGACAGAGGACAGUGAGGAUCUCGUUGUGACAGAGAGGUGAACCACCGGAACACACGUGGAUACACGCUAAGCAGCCUUCUGCAGAGGGGUGUCAUGGGCAGAAGCCUCAGCAGCAGCUGAACCUCCAGAGCAGCCUCAAGGAGGCACUCCCCAGCCCAUGGGAUCUCGGCAUUCGAAGCAGAACAGGAGACCUGGGCCCCUGAAACGGGGCCACCGAAGAGAUAGGAGAACAUCCCGGAGGAAGUACUGGAAGGAAGGAAGGG